GUUUUGAAACGUUGAAGUGUGAGGACGUCGGCCGCGGAUCUCAAGUAAUUUGCGUUUUGUCUUCGGGAUUGUAACUGUUUUUGAGGCUUUUACUACUGUUCGCAGACACGCAUUAUGAGCGCCGAUAGGAAGAUUACCAACCACGUAACGUUACCAACGGCGCUGGGUGCCAAACGAUGAAUCUCGUACGAAGUGACAGGUGGUGAG